ensembl:misc_RNA Metazoa_SRP Metazoan signal recognition particle RNA
GCCGGGCAUGGUGGCGGGUGCCUGUAGUCCCAGCUACUAGGGAGGCUGAGGCAGGAGAAUUGCUUGAACCCGGGAGACAGAGAUUGCAGUGAGCUGAGGUGGUGCCACUGCAUUCCUGCCUGGGCAACAGAGCAAGACUCCAUCUCAC